rnacentral:misc_RNA from 1 species
UACCUAGAGUUGUAGGCUUUGCCUAGCUAUCAUCUUACCCAUGUCUUUGAGUACCUUCGUUUCCUUUCCUCGGCGGGUCCGCCCGCCGAUUGGACAAUUUAAACCAUUUGCAGUUGCAAUCAGCGUCUGAAAAAACUUAAUAGUUA